AACGAAGUCAAACCAUACCACGUACUCACACCAUUGUUCAUACAAUGUCUAUAAGCGGUGUUUUCUGCGAUAUGUGCUUCUGGCUCUCCACAAAGGAACAUCUCCAAGGGAGGGGGCGUGAGCUGCUUAAGCUUCAUCCCAUCCCGAAUCCUUGCAAUUAACACACCACGAAGAUAGGGACUGAGAGGUAAUCCUCUUCCAAUCCACCACUCGAGUG